GUCACAUUUGCAUCGCUUACAUUCACCACUUGAUAUAUAUCAUAUUUAAUACAAAGGGAAAAACGAUCAAGAUAAGGUAACAUUGAGUUCAAAUGAUCCGAAUUCAAGAUCCAUGAGUAACAAUAAAAGGGAGAAUUCCAAACAUAGAGUGAAACAACAGUUGGCCUAUUUUGAGAUUUCAAGCAAAUUCCGGAACUUAUGCCUUCAAUCUUUCGAAAUCGAGACUUGAAAAUUGCCAAGCAAGCGUAGGACAGAUCGUUUAUAUCACCACAUUUUGCAGCUAUUGAGAUCAUUGAUAUGAUGCUUUUAUUUGUAAAUUUUGCAACAUUAGAACCAUCCAUGGACUCUCCACCAUAAGCUUCGAAGAAGCUAAGAUCGAUUAAGGUUGCCAUGUUUGAUGUUUUUGUCAAGUUUUGAAGAAGUGCUUCAGAUAAUAAUUCUGUGUUUUGAAUUGAUCUCUUUGCCCAAAGUCCACACCAUAUGAUCAUAUUUCCAUGGA
rnacentral:misc_RNA from 1 species